UAGAAGAAACAACUUUAAUUGAAGUGAUGUUCUCAUUUACAAUGUCUCUGACGAUGCAAGUAUUGAGCCAACAACUCCACAAACAUUGUUAAGGGAAAUUACUAUGCCCACAACUGCGGUUUCAUCUUUUAUGUCAACACCAGACACAACUGCAGAAUCCCACAAGCGAAAAAGAGAGUCGGUGAGAAGACCUCUUUUUAUUGGUAAAGAACAAAGGUUUGUUUGCUAUCUUUCCUUUGUACAGGUUUUAAACUAUUCUCUGUUCAUUUUUUCUAACAUUUGUUAUCGAUUUGAAACAUUAAUGUAGAAGAUAUAUCAAGACCAAGUGAAAAAAGACUUUGAUCAAAUUCCCAUCAAGCUGUUAAAAAAAUAAAAAAAUAAAAAAUCACCUCCCACUCCUCGAAAGGCAGAUUUGACUCUUCCAAAAAAACAAUAGGUUGGUUUCUCCAUUGUGAAAAAUACUCUACUAUCACUUUGGGUACUCUAGGUGAAAAUUUUUCCAGCUUUUCCUAAUUUGCAUCAGACAAUGCUUCUAAUAUUUUUUUGGGAUGUAAAUAGUCCUUGGUGAUAAACAUUGUAUGGUAUUUUUUGCAUGUACAUACACCAGCGCUUUGUAAUGUUUUCUAAGUGUUGCUGCUCACCGAAAUUACAUAGAACUCCUAGAAUACAAUAGAUGGGUGUAAUAUUUUUUGCCUGCAGAUGUACACAGAUUUGACAGCCUUUUGUAUGCAAAUGUUGCUGUUGAUGGAAAAUUAUGUAUAAUUGCUGCAACAAAAUGGAUGACCGUCGUGUAUUUUGCA